GGCCCUUCACGAUCAAUUUGAGGUCUCGUAUGGGGGUUCUAACUUAAUAUGGUAGAGCAGAACCCAGUCAAUUUGCUUUGGGAAACCUCACGCAGAAUUGCACCAAGAAAUCGAAAAAGGUAGAGAGGAAGAAGAGAGGGAAAGCGCGGGCGAUCGAGAUCGCGAGGAGAGAUAGAGUGGGUAGAUGCCGAAAUCAUAUCUCCAUCGCCCACCAUAACACCUAUGAACCCCAUCAAAACUCAUCCCCAAAACCUAACCCUAACCCCAGCGUUAGGUCUUGCACAUCACGACGCAACCGAUGGAGUGGUCGUCUCCAACGACGAUGAUGCCGACUAUAUCUUCCAAUCUUACCAUCUCCACUCCCAAUCUCUCCUCCUGGACGACGACGAUGACCCGGACCACGAAGAUCCAUCCUGCAACCCUAACAACUCUAAUCCCUCGCAAACCCUAGACGACACCCAUCCCGAAUCGCCCUUCUCCUCCCUCCUUCUCCGCGACCCGGACAUCGACGAUGAGGAGGAAGAAGAUGACGAGCUCCCUGCCCCGGCCGAUGGCGGCGACGAUGUGGUCCAUGAUUCUGACUUUGAGCUCAAGACCGACUCCAAACACUCCUCCGACGCUGUCAUAUUGGCGGCGGCACUGCAGCACGUCGACCCAUCGCCACACAUCUCCUCCCAGUUCUACACCUUCAACCGGGAUUCCCACGCUCUGAUGAUUCGUUGCAUCCUUGAGGGGCGACUCGCUGCUCCGAGCGAGAUCCGGCAGGCAACGCCUCGGUCGGUGCUGAAGUCCUGGCGUUUGGUUUGGAAGGACCGGAACGAGGAUACCGCGUACCUUACGGCGUGGAAGCGGAUUCAAGACAAGCUCCACGCACAUGUCGACGAUAAGGGUAACCCCUCCCUUUACUUCAAGAACAACCCGGCCCAAUGCGUCUCCCAUUUCGAGCAAUGGCAAGACAUUGUGGCCUCCUUCCAUGCGGACCCCGACCUUCUCCGACACCUUGGUCUAAAGGAGACCGUGGACAGAAUCAAGCAGUCAUGGACAGUUGGAGCUAAAUUCUAUGGCAUCCCCGAAUCCUUCAUCCGUGAUUGCAUAUCCUCAUGCCCCAUUUGCUCCUCUUCCACCUCCAUUGCUGGUGCAUCCUCAUGCGGUGGAGGUGCUUCAUCCCGAUCCAAGCGGCGCAGAUUUGAAUACACUGAGUCAUUUGAUGUCCCCGCCAAGGAUGUACCUUGCAGGCUUCAGCAGCUGGCCGCCAAGCAUAAAGUAGUUCUUUGCAUCCGGCAGAAAUAUAUAAGAUACAAGCCCUUUAUGGCAGAGGUGAAGGAUUAUACAUGCCACCGUGCUGGAGAGCCUUCGUCCGUUUCAGCCUCAACCUCUACAAAGAAGCAACGGGUUCUGAAGAGGGAGCCUUACCAGUCAAAACGAUGUGGCUGCGGGUUUCGUAUCCGUGCCAUUGUGCCCAUUACCAAUUAUAAUGAGAAAGACAAGACUUUUGUGUACCUUGAGGAGGGCACAGCUGUGUUCAAGCUCUAUGCUGUGCAUUCUGGGCAUGAGCCAGGCCCCCUAGAUGGAAAUGCAAGGAUUAUUCACAGAGUGGUAGGCCACAAGGGAGGUUUAGAAUUUGACCCUGUGGUCUAUGGGGUCCGAGAGGACACAGAACCUGAAUCUUUUGUUGACCUCAUGGUUAAGAAAGAUGGUUGCGGUAGUCAUCACAGCGUUCUUCAGAAGAUCCAGGAGUUGAAGUUGGAGGCUGGCUUGUUAGAGGGAAAGAUGGCUAAGAUGCCACCAGAGUUACUCAGAUCUCUUUCACGUGAGUUGACAGAUACUCUGAACAGGCUCAGGAGUUUUACUGGUCAACAACUUUCUGAAGAAUCCUUAGUUAUGGGUGAUGAUAGUAUCGGGCAGUGGGGAAGUGAGCAAAAUCAUGAUUUUGAUGAGCAUGGCAGGAUAUUUGGCAAUAAGGAUGCGGAAAUUGUUGAUGAUGAUGAAACUGAUUUUCAUUCAACCCUUGGGCCUAUUAUGCCGUGGGGUUCCAUGACGGUAGAGUGCCAGGAGCAGAAGAUGCUCUUGGGGGAUAGCUGCAAGUCAGUCAAAUGGUUACUGAAGGAAGAUUGUAGUGACUUUGAUGAAAAAAGCAUACUUAAUUGUGGUGAGGAUGAGGAUUCAAAGUUGAUAAAGCCUUUGAGGCAUGAAGAAAACAUUGUGACGGAUUCUAAUCUUGUGGCAAUGCACGUUGAUGGGUUCUACCCGGAAAACACAAAGUGUGACCUCUGAACAGUUGCAGCCAACGACUAUUUUCUCUCAGCAUUCAUACUACCAUAGUGCAGCUCUAUGCCUCUAAACAUAAGCGGAGAAUGACUGAUGGAGCAAACUGUAAUAGUCUGUAGUAGGCUGAUAAUGGUGAUGUACACAACACUAAUCUCUAUUUGUUUUAAAUUUCUUCAAUUGAUUUCCUCAUGUUCACAGUCGUAUGUGUUUAGUAGUAUUUAGAUGCGAAAUCUUUUUUGGUAAAACAUGAUUUAAAAUGAUAACUUGUUUCUUUAUAAUUGGAUUAUUUUUUCUUUGUGUGGAUACAUAAUUCCUCAGGUCAUCUCAGCACAUCUCACAUCUAUGCUGGCUCUCAUACACUAUGAAUGUAGUUGCUUCCUUUCUGUUAAUGUUGAUAUCGUGGAGCAGUAAGAAAGCCGCCCCAAACGAAGCAUUAGUGUGCAAAUGUUGAUUCCAAGGAGAAUAAUUAGGAGAAUUGGAGUAGUUCUUCGAUCUUAUCAUAGAAGAACCAAAUGAAGCCCGUGCUUGCAGUUGUUGAGGAAGAUGACACUCUCCGUCAAGCUUGAGAACUAUUUGAAUGCUGCAUGAUCUUUCGUUGGGGUUUAUCCUGGAGCAAACCCUUGGGUGUAACAAACACCAGUUUUCUCUCUCUUGAUUGCAAUUUAUUUUGUAUUUUACUUUGUAGUAUAUUUUAACCACACUUGCAGUGAUUGUGUAAUUUGUAUUUGUUGAUGAUAGCUUAGUUCACCACCAAA